rnacentral:misc_RNA from 1 species
AACGCACGAGACCUGCGGACCUGCGGAGGGAUCAUUACCGAGUUUACAACUCCCAAACCCAAUGUGAACGUUACCAAACUGUUGCCUCGGCGGGAUCUCUGCCCCGGGUGCGUCGCAGCCCCGGACCAAGGCGCCCGCCGGAGGACCAACCAAAACUCUUUUUGUAUACCCCCUCGCGGGUUUUUUAUAAUCUGAGCCUUCUCGGCGCCUCUCGUAGGCGUUUCGAAAAUGAAUCAAAAC